rfam:Felis catus isolate Cinnamon breed Abyssinian chromosome B2, whole genome shotgun sequence.
CCAAAGGCUCUUUUCAGAGCCAACCACUUUGAUCUAUAACAGAUG